AUACGUAGGUGACAAGCGUUAUCCGGAUUUACUGGGCGUAAAGGGCGUGUAGGCGGUCUUGCAAGUCAGAAGUGAAAUUCCUGAGCUCAACUCGGGCGCUGCUUCUGAAACUGCAGGACUUGAGUGCUGGAGGGGAUAGCGGAAUUCCUAGUGGAGCGGUAAAAUGCGUAGAUAUUAGGAAGAACACCGGUGGCGAAGGCGGCUAUCUGGACAGUAACUGACGCUGAGGCGCGAAAGCGUGGGGAGCAAAAAGGAUUAGAUCCCCUGGAAGUCCACGCCGUAAACGAUGAAUACUAGGUGUAGGGGGUAUCGACUCCCUCUGUGCCGCAGUUAACACAAUAAGUAUUCCGCCUGGGGAGUUCGGCCGCAAGGUUGAAACUCAAAUGAAUUGACGGGG
rnacentral:rRNA from 1 species